rnacentral:rRNA from 1 species
GAUGAACGCUGGCGGCGUGCUUAACACAUGCAAGUCGAACGGAAAGGCUCCUGCUUGCAGGGGUACUCGAGUGGCGAACGGGUGAGUAACACGUGGGUGAUCUGCCCUGCACUUCGGGAUAAGCCUGGGAAACUGGGUCUAAUACCGGAUAGGACGAUGGUUUGGAUGCCAUUGUGGAAAGUUUUUUCGGUGUGGGAUGAGCUCGCGGCCUAUCAGCUUGUUGGUGGAGUAGUGGCCUACCAAGGCGUAGACGGGUAGCCGGCCUGAGAGGGUGUACGGCCACAUUGGGACUGAGAUACGGCCCAGACUCCUACGGGAGGCAGCAGUGGGGAAUAUUGCACAAUGGGAGCAAGCCUGAUGCAGCGACGCCGCGUGGGGGAUGACGGCCUUCGGGUUGUAAACUCCUUUCGCUAGGGACGAAGCGCAAGUGACGGUACCUGGAGAAGAAGCACCGGCUAACUACGUG